GUCCACGCCCUAAACGAUGCUUACUAGCUGUUUGGAAGAAAUUCUGGGCGGCCAAGCGAAAGCGAUAAGUAAGCCACCUGGGGAGUACGCCCGCAAGGGUGAAACUCAAAGGAAUUGACGGGGGUCCGCACAAGCGGUGUAGCAUGUGGUUUAAUUCGAUGAUACGCGAGGAACCUUACCUAGACUAGAAUGCUAUACCGAUAUUGUUGAAAGAUGAUAGGCCUUCGGAGGUAUAGCAAGGUGCUGCAUGGUUGUCGU
rnacentral:rRNA from 1 species